rnacentral:sRNA from 1 species
GCUAGGCGUGGUGGUGCACGCCUGUAAUCCCAGCAGCUCAGAGGCUGAAGCAGGAUGAUAGUGAGUUCAAAGCCAGCCUCAGCAAAAGUGAAGUGCUAAGCAACUCAGUGAGGCCCUGUCUCUA